UACUUACAGUCUCCAUUUCAUUUUCAACACGCCCAUACUACAAACUUGCAUAAUUAUAUUAACGUUAAAUAGAAAAUUCUAGAGAGAAAAGAAAUUAUCAAACUAAUUCUAAAAAGGAAUCAUUAACCCUAUAUAGUUGUAGAUUGUAACGUAGAAAUUGACAAGAAAGAGUGGUGAUCAAGAAACAUUGAAGUAGAGAAGAAUGGUGGGAGGAGCAGCCUUUAAACAAGCCGAGAAAUUAAGAAUUGAUGGUAAUACCUAUUUUAAAAGAGACCGAUUUGGUGCUGCUAUUGAUGCUUACACUGAGGCAAUUACUUUAUGCCCUAAUGUCCCUGUAUAUUGGACCAAUCGUGCUCUUUGCCAUAGGAAACGCAAUGAUUGGAGAAAAGUUGAACAAGAUUGUCGCAGAGCGAUUCAGCUUGACAACAAUUCUUUCAAGGCCCAUUAUAUGUUGGGGCUUGCAUUACUACAAAAAGGAGAAUUAGCUGAAGGCGUAAAGGAGUUGCAAAAAGCUUUGGAUCUUGGUAGGGGUGCAGAUGGAAAGGGCUACAUGGUAGAAGAAAUCUGGCAAGAGCUGGCCAAAGCUAAAUACAUGGAGUGGGAGCAGGCAUCUACUAAGCGUUCAUGGGAACUCCAAAACUUGAAAGAAGCUUGUGAAAAUGCUCUUAGAGAAAAAAGUUUUCUUGAUAAUUCUCAAACAGAAGGGUUCUUGGAUGACAUGAUUGCUUCUCAUUCAAAACAAUUGGAAGAUUUAGGACACGUGUUCAAGAAAGCUGCAGAAGAUGACACGCCAACCGAGGUUCCAGAUUAUUUAUGUUGCAAAAUCACACUUGACAUUUUCCGGGAUCCUGUUAUUACUCCAAGCGGUAUUUCAUAUGAAAGAGCAGUAAUCCUCGACCAUCUUCAGAAGGUGGGGAAGUUUGAUCCAGUGACACGGGAGCCACUGGAUCCAUCUCAGCUAGUAUCAAACUUGGCGAUAAAGGAAGCAGUUGAAGCAUAUCUGAACAAACAUGGUUGGGCCUACAAGAUGGAUUCAGAUUGAUGGUUUCUGGUCACUCAUAAAAGACAUUUGAUAAUUAAAGCUCAGUGACAGACUAAUAGCAGUGAUAGGGUUGAGCUAAUUCCAAAGAAUACUUUUUUUGAUAGGGAAUUCUUCCUUGCAUCGUCCAUCAUGUUUAGUAUCUGAUUCUAGCAGACUCAGUGUACCGACAGUUGUUUACAGUACAAGUGAUCACAUGAAUUACAAAUAAUAUAUUUCAAUCUCUCCCUCCCUUGUGAAAAAAGGUAUGAGAUACUAUCAUUAUCGCCUGGACAAGUAGACAUCCAAUCCGUAAUUGUAACGACCUAAUUGCAAGAGCGGAACUCUACGAACUGAACUAUAUUCCUCCGAGCCAAGUGGAGCAUGCUCGAAGGAAUCAGAUGCUUCUUCUAUUUUUUUCUUUGGCGCAGCUGGGCCAUCCUGGACUUGAAUCAAAGACCUCGCUCAUGAAGGACAUGCUCUUCAAAGAUCUCACCCUCAUAUCACUCUCCUAAACAAGCUUUAUAGGCACAAUGUAUGUUUAGACACCUAAAUUUUAAUCAUUUAAUUACUUUAAUUUUCAGUUUAAUCUAAGAAACAUUUCAAUUUUAUUUUUA